UACGAAGGGUGCAAGCGUUACUCGGAAUCACUGGGCGUAAAGCGUGCGUAGGCGGUUCGUUAAGUCUGCUGUGAAAGCCCUGGGCUCAACCUGGGAACUGCAGUGGAUACUGGCGGACUAGAGUGUGAUAGAGGAUGGUGGAAUUCCCGGUGUAGCGGUGAAAUGCGUAGAGAUCGGGAGGAACACCAGUGGCGAAGGCGGCCAUCUGGAUCAACACUGACGCUGAGGCACGAAAGCGUGGGGAG
rnacentral:rRNA from 1 species